AUUGAACGCUGGCGGCAGGCCUAACACAUGCAAGUCGAAUGGUAACAGGAAACAGCUUGCUGUUUCGCUGACGAGUGGCGGACGGGUGAGUAAUGUCUGGGAAACUGCCUGAUGGAGGGGGAUAACUACUGGAAACGGUAGCUAAUACCGCAUAACGUCGCAAGACCAAAGAGGGGGACCUUCGGGCCUCUUGCCAUCAGAUGUGCCCAGAUGGGAUUAGCUAGUAGGUGGGGUAACGGCUCACCUAGGCGACGAUCCCUAGCUGGUCUGAGAGGAUGACCAGCCACACUGGAACUGAGACACGGUCCAGACUCCUACGGGAGGCAGCAGUGGGGAAUAUUGCACAAUUGGCGCAAUCCUGAUGCAGCCAUGCCGCGUGUAUGAAGAAGGCCUUCGGGUUGUAAAGUACUUUCAGCGGGGAGGAAGGGAGUAAAGUUAAUACCUUUGCUCAUUGACGUUACCCGCAGAAGAAGCACCGGCUAACUCCGUG
rnacentral:rRNA from 1 species